CUCCUGUCGCGCCAUUUUAGGCCCGAGCGCACACAUCGCAUUGCUGCUUGGAGUGUCGCCACGGCUACGGUUGUAGGGCCAGAGUUUUUGUUUUGUAUCUUUUAUUCUUCUUUUUUUUUUACUUUCUUACAUAUUACGCGGUGUUUUGAGAUUUUUUUAAAUAUUCUACGCUUUGAAGUAGGUGUGAUAUACACCGUUGAGGGCUAUAAUUCUGCAGAAUCAGACCAAUCAGGAAUCCCUAAUGGUGACCAGAAAAAGAGGAAGACUUGAGAGUAAAGGUGUGGAUGCCAUGUGCUCAAGCCCUUCUGAGGAAUGUGACCUCGCCUUACAAAUGUCUUCUGAAGGUACAAUCCAGCACUCCUCACCAGAGAGCGAUUCAAACGACUGGGGGCUAGACGAGCUCUUCACCUCUGAUUUCAACUGGGCUUUAGAAGAUGACGUGCUCUGUCCUUUCCAAGACAUGGGAAUGCAGGAUCUAGGGUUAAGCGCGGAAGACAAGACUGAUCAGGAAUCCAUAUCCCACAGCAGAGGUUCGGCCCGGAGGCAGAAACUACAAGACCUUUCUGGGCGCAAUGUGAAUAAGAAUGCACUGGCGGCAAGACUGAACCGGCUGAAGAAGAAAGAGUAUUUGAAUGGCUUGGAGCAGCGCGUUGGAUCUCUGACCUCUGAGAACCGGCUUCUCAGGCAGGAGAACGGCAGCCUGAACAAAAGGGUGGAAGAACUUGAGAAUGAGACUAGGUACCUGAGAGCCGUGUUGGCCAAUGAGAGCAUGUUGGCGCAGCUGUUGUCUAGAUUGAGCGGUGUGAACGGCAUGAAAUUCUCUACCUCGCUUUUCCAGGCAUCCAGCGAGAACGACCACGAUUAUGCCAUGCCGAGGAAGAAAGUGAAGGUGGAGGAUAAGGCCGCGCCAGGCGGUGUCUGUCUGCAUGUGGACAAGGACCACGUCUCUGUGGAGUUCUGCACUAAAUGUGCAGAGAGUGCAAGCGCAUCACUUAAAAUGUAGGGUCAAGUAUUUUGCCUUUUCAGCGUUUUCCCUGAGACUGAACUAAUGUAAUGAGCAGCGUGUUGGACAUCACAGCAGUAGUUGUCUCAAUGACAAAUUAACUGUACAAAUAGAGACAUGGCAUGUAUAUAAGAAACUGGUUUGAAUACAAGUUACUGCUAAACUUGUUGACAGUUUUCUCCUAGGUGCUUGGUCUGCCAUGUGGGGUGACUGGAUCUCAGAGCAUCCAUGACUGCCAGAACCUAUGUGGAUUUGCUGUGGGGAAAGCUGAAGAAACGGGACCAGCAGCUUGCAACAUGGCCUGGUAAAUUAAAAAAGCAGUUUCUUCAUUCUCCUCAAGUGUUAUCCUCCCUCUUUUCUAAGUGGAUAAAGAGUGGUAAUCUUGCCUUUAAGGGACUACAAACCACAAACCUUUUCCAUGACAACAUGCUAUGUGGCCUUUAUUCUGUGGGUUAUGGAGGGGGAACCUUGCUUUCAAAGAGCUUGUGAUGGUCCAGACAUAGGGAGGGGCUUUCACACCUAUACACUGCAAACAUGAUAAUGAAUCAGAGAAAUUGAUAGUUUUUUUUUUAUUUGGUUUGAUACAGCAUUUAAUGUAACAAACCAAGAAACAAAAAUUGGGUAAGCAUUGUGUAGGGCUGAAAACUUGAUUUGAAUUUGUUGGUCAAAUAUAGCAAUGGAAAGUGAUGUAGAAGUUACAAGUCACCUGAGCACAAAGCUCAGUCUAAAGUAUGUGCAACAAUUCAAUUUUAUAAAAUUACUACAGGGUGUCCCAAAGUCCCCAUAUAUGGGGGAAUUAACACUUUUUAGCUAAUGUAGCUUUAUUUACAAAACAUCCUCUACAUGAUUGACAUUUCUUUGUAAAAACAGAGUCGUGGCUCCCAGUUUGGGAACAGUGGGGAGUGUGAUGUGCUUGCCAUGUUUCCAUCUCAACCUUGGGACACCUUCCUGAUCCAGACAUGAGAAUGCUUUAAAUAAAUUUGUUCUUCUUUUGUCAAAGACA